rnacentral:rRNA from 1 species
UAAUACGGAGGGUGCGAGCGUUAAUCGGAAUUACUGGGCGUAAAGCGCGCGUAGGCGGCAGCGUAAGUCGAUUGUGAAAGCCCCGGGCUUAACCUGGGAAUUGCAUUCGAUACUGCACUGCUCGAGUAUGGGAGAGGGAAGUGGAAUUUCCGGUGUAGCGGUGAAAUGCGUAGAUAUCGGAAGGAACACCAGUGGCGAAGGCGACUUCCUGGCCCAAUACUGACGCUGAGGUGCGAAAGCGUGGGUAGCAAACAGGAUUAGAUACCCUGGUAGUCCACGCCGUAAACGAUGAGAACUAGAUGUUGGAAGGAUUUGCCUUUCAGUGUCGCAGCUAACGCAUUAAGUUCUCCGCCUGGGGAGUACGGCCGCAAGGUUG